AUGAACGCUGGCGGCGUGCCUAAUACAUGCAAGUCGAGCGAACGGACGAGAAGCUUGCUUCUCUGAUGUUAGCGGCGGACGGGUGAGUAACACGUGGAUAACCUACCUAUAAGACUGGGAUAACUUCGGGAAACCGGAGCUAAUACCGGAUAAUAUUUUGAACCGCAUGGUUCAAAAGUGAAAGACGGUCUUGCUGUCACUUAUAGAUGGAUCAGCGCUGCAUUAGCUAGUUGGUAAGGUAACGGCUUACCAAGGCAACGAUGCAUAGCCGACCUGAGAGGGUGAUCGGCCACACUGGAACUGAGACACGGUCCAGACUCCUACGGGAGGCAGCAGUAGGGAAUCUUCCGCAAUGGGCGAAAGCCUGACGGAGCAACGCCGCGUGAGUGAUGAAGGUCUUCGGAUCGUAAAACUCUGUUAUUAGGGAAGAACAUAUGUGUAAGUAACUGUGCACAUCUUGACGGUACCUAAUCAGAAAGCCACGGCUAACUACGUG
rnacentral:rRNA from 1 species